GAUGACACAUGGCCCCUGCGCAAGGAUGACACGCACAAAUCGAGAAAUGGUCCAAAUUUUUUUCUUACCCAUUUUGCCCACGACUUCUGUAUCUGAUUUUACCAAAACACCCUCGUAAAUCGUCACUUUCCCACACUACCCCUGACAUCUUUCGACGUGUCUUCUCCUCCCCCUUUGAGACUCACCGUAAGCUUAUAGUGGAGCUCCUCCCUCUGUAAUUCCUCUUCCUUCGUCUCCGCGUUCCCCUACCAAUUUCAGUUUGCUAGACAAGCGUGUUCUUUAUAAAUGUUGAUAUAUAUGAUGCUAUCAGAUUGAAGGUUAUUAAUCAGGCCAAUUGCCAAUGUGAGUGAAUGGAAUGGAUUGCUUCGAUUGGUGUAGCAGCCGCUACAGCAUAUUAUGUAUCUAUUAGAGACAGUGAAACUAGAUUAUGAUGAGUUUGCUUGACAAGCGUGUUCUUUAUGUGAGUGAAAUGUUGGUAUAAUUGAUGCUAUCAGAUUGAAGAUUAUCAAUCAGGUCAACGCCAAUGUGAGUGAAUGGUACUCAACCACCAACUUACACAGGCACACACACAUGUAAAUCUACUUGAUAUGACCCUAGUUCACUUAGUUAAUCUAUUUUUAUAAUGUUGAGUUACUUGGUGGAAGCUCGCCCGAACAUGUGAUCAAAAGGUGGAUGAUCGACCGCCCACCCAAGUAAUGAACUUCUCUUCAUAUUUUCCUUGUGUGUCUUGAGAGUGGUAACAGUAUUCCAGCUAGUGUAUAUGUGUGUGUGGGCUACAUAUGUUUAUGAUUCCGUAGUUGUCAUCUGUUUAAGUCAUUUUAGGGAGAAUCGAUGUACUUUGUGGCUGUAAUUGACAGACUAGUAUGUAGGUUAGGACCAUGUAGAUGCAUAAUAUGUUUAUUAUUAUUGUGAAUUAUUAACUGACGAUAUGCGAUGCACUGAUACAUUACUUACUAAUAAUGUGCUUGGUUAAUUUUGAUAUUUAAUAGCACUGAUAUGUUUCUUAGUAACAAGGUACUUGGUUAAUUUGGAAUGAACUGACUGGAGUUCAUGUAUUGGGAAUGGAUUGCUUGGAUUAGUGUAGCAUAUUAUGUAUUGCCAAAAUUAGAAGUGGGGAAAAGGAUGGUUGAAUUUACCUGUACAAGUUGAAUUGCAAGUUUGCAAUGGACGGCAACAUAAUGAAACAGUUUCUAGUGUGCCAUGGUCAAUGGGUAGACAUAUAAUAUGGCUCUUUCGUUAAAUUUUUGUUUGCUCUAUUUCAAAAUAAGAAGAAUAGUCUAUGACUAUUGUUUUUAUGACAGUUAUUCAAAAUUUAAAAAUGGCAUCUCAGUAGUUGUUCUAAUAGCUGCAUCGACUGCUUCUGGAAAUAUGGAACACUGAAGAAAGUAUCAAUAUUGACUGGUAUAUCACAAUUCGUAAGUACAAAGAUGUCAAUGUAAUAUGAGUAUGUUAUUGGUAGCAGAUAAAUAAUUCUAGUUCCUGCUUGUAUUUCAUGAACAAUAUAUGUAUAAUAAUUGUUGUGAAAAAAAAGUUUGAUAUUUAAUAGAACUUGGAUUUUAGAAGGAACGAUAGAGACUCUGAAACUAGAGUAUGUUCUUGAAGUGUAUGUAACGUGAAAUUAUUAAGAUUUAAUCCAUGCAAAUGAAUUGUUAAAUUUGUCCAUUGAUCCAUAUUAUCUCCUAUCAAAGCCAUUAUGUUGUAGUGGUUUAAAUCAUUGUGAGGAUCAUAUUUUGGGUUCAACGCUUAAACUGGUUCUUGAAAGUGUCUUUGAAUAUGUGGUGGGCAGUAAAACACUUUCAUUUUAGUAUAUAUAAUGUUAAAAAAAAUUGAGAACAAGGAAAUAUGAGAGACGGGCACAACACAUGUUUGAAGCAUCUCGUUCACAAGAGAGGAGGACAUGGGAGAAGAGAGAAGGGAGGAGCGGUGAAGGAGGAAGCAACUGCAAACUUCCAUGUCUCAUAUGCAUAUAUAGAAGAGUGCGAUGAGGUUAAGUGAGAGAGCUCAAAGCUCUUAGUUUUCUUUGAACUUUUUUCAUCUCUAAUGACUUACCUUAUGCUUAACUAGGAAAGAAAAAAAAAACUUAUAUUCAUAAUAAAAACUGCUAAAAUUCUUCAGAAUAAAUUUUUUUUUUCCCUAACACUUGUAUCAUUUUCUUUUUUUUUUUUUUUUUUUUUUUUUUCAAAAGAGGCUGAGUAAGAGACCAUUACUUUAUACGUGUCACUGGACAUUUCUAAUUGUACUUGUGCUCAUAGGAAGACCAAGAAUCCCAGAAUCACCAGCUAUUGUGCGCCUUGCUGAGUUAAUCUUCAGGCCUUAAAUUGAUUCGAUUGGUGAUAAUUUGCAUCUCAGGUUCAAUUAUUGUGGGGAGCUGAUGUAUGUUUAGAAAGGGUUUCUCAGGGAAGAAUGAGAUUUGGUUGGUGGUCUUUUCGCAUCAAGGACUGCAAGAGAACCCUGCUCUUGGUUGUUAGAAUUAAUGUGUAUCAAUUCCAUUUUGGGCCAAUUUAGGCUUUCAGCUGAAACACAUAGUUCUGGCUGAGAACUUGACGAUAGAGUUUGGUGCCAUUGGUAUGAUUAUUCUGGCCUGGUCUGACAUUUAAGGAACUGGAGUUUAUGCUGUUGUAUAACCAUCAGGGGUUUAUGGGGCAGGAUGUCCUCAAGGAAGAGAGAGGGUUUCAUGGACAGAAGCUUGAGAAGAGAGAACAGAACCCUCGAUAGGGAGCUGGGAAUUAACAAGACUCCUAGCAUAAGGAGUUCUUAAUAUGCAUAAUGACCAUUGCAUCCUUCUAAAAUAAAAAAUAAAUGAUAUUUUUCAGUCAACUGUCUCUAAAUUUGUAUGGAUGGUGAUCCUAUUCGCUCAAGCUCGGAAAGCUUAACUAGUUGUUGGAUGGGUGAUUUUUACGGUUCUGUUUCCAUGCAUUAUGCCUUCUCAACUUCACUUACCUAAUAGUAUAUAGAUGCAUUAUAUUUAUUUAUGAAGUAGUUCUCUAUUUUCAACCUCUAUGGCUUGGGAAUCCUCAUUCAGGCACUACUAGUAGUUAUGAAUUCUCAUAUAUUUUCAUUUUUCCUGCUCAGACUGCACAAAUGGUAUUGGUUGACAUAGUUGUGUGAUUAAGAUAUUUGAUCUAAUGGACAUUGCACUCUAGAUUUCCCAAUCCAAAUGUCAUAGAGACUUUUGAGGUGCUUGUGAUAGCGCUGAAAUUUGCUCACCUUGUUAUGUUGCUGUUCCUUCUACCGCAAAAUCAUGAUUGGUCUGCUAGGCAUGUUAUGCUUCUGGCCGAAUACACAAGCAUAAUUUGGAUGUUUGAGUAAAUUAGCAAUGAGACUCCAUUUGAAACAGUACAACGAGAGUUAUCAUAUGAUGAGAUAUCUUAUGUUGGCCUGCAAUUUCAAUAAAUAUAUAUAAUAAUUUACUAAUU